AGAACGAACGCUGGCGGCAUGCCUAAUACAUGCAAGUCGAACGAACACUUCGGUGUUAGUGGCGCACGGGUGCGUAACGCGUGGGAAUCUGCCCUUGGGUUCGGAAUAACAGUUGGAAACGACUGCUAAUACCGGAUGAUGACGAAAGUCCAAAGAUUUAUCGCCCAGGGAUGAGCCCGCGUAGGAUUAGCUAGUUGGUGAGGUAAAGGCUCACCAAGGCGACGAUCCUUAGCUGGUCUGAGAGGAUGAUCAGCCACACUGGGACUGAGACACGGCCCAGACUCCUACGGGAGGCAGCAGUAGGGAAUAUUGGACAAUGGGCGCAAGCCUGAUCCAGCAAUGCCGCGUGAGUGAUGAAGGCCUUAGGGUUGUAAAGCUCUUUACCCGAGAUGAUAAUGACAGUAUCGGAGAAUAAGCCCCGGCUAACUCCGUGCCAAGCAGCCGC
rnacentral:rRNA from 1 species